UACGAAGGGGGGCUAGCGUUGUUCGGAAUUACUGGGCGUAAAGCGCACGUAGGCGGAUUUUUAAGUCAGGGGUGAAAUCCCGAGGCUCAACCUCGGAACUGCCUUUGAUACUGGAGAUCUUGAGCUCGGAAGAGGUUGGUGGAACAGCUAGUGUAGAGGUGAAAUUCGUAGAUAUUAGCUAGAACACCAGUGGCGAAGGCGGCCAACUGGUCCGAUACUGACGCUGAGGUGCGAAAGCGUGGGGAGCAAACAGG
rnacentral:rRNA from 1 species